UGCAGUCGAGCGGCAGCGGGUCCUUCGGGAUGCCGGCGAGCGGCGGACGGGUGAGUAAUGCCUAGGAAUCUGCCUGGUAGUGGGGGAUAACGUUCGGAAACGGGCGCUAAUACCGCAUACGUCCUACGGGAGAAAGUGGGGGAUCUUCGGACCUCACGCUAUCAGAUGAGCCUAGGUCGGAUUAGCUAGUUGGUGGGGUAAUGGCUCACCAAGGCGACGAUCCGUAACUGGUCUGAGAGGAUGAUCAGUCACACUGGAACUGAGACACGGUCCAGACUCCUACGGGAGGCAGCAGUGGGGAAUAUUGGACAAUGGGCGAAAGCCUGAUCCAGCCAUGCCGCGUGUGUGAAGAAGGUCUUCGGAUUGUAAAGCACUUUAAGUUGGGAGGAAGGGCAGUAAGUUAAUACCUUGCUGUUUUGACGUUACCAACAGAAUAAGCACCGGCUAACUUCGUGCCAGCAGCCGCGGUAAUACGAAGGGUGCAAGCGUUAAUCGGAAUUACUGGGCGUAAAGCGCGCGUAGGUGGUUCAGCAAGUUGGAGGUGAAAUCCCCGGGCUCAACCUGGGAACUGCCUCCAAAACUACUGAGCUAGAGUACGGUAGAGGGUAGUGGAAUUUCCUGUGUAGCGGUGAAAUGCGUAGAUAUAGGAAGGAACACCAGUGGCGAACGCGACUACCUGGACUGAUACUGACACUGAGGUGCGAAAGCGUGGGGAGCAAACAGGAUUAGAUACCCUGGUAGUCCACGCCGUAGACGAUGUCGACUAGCCGUUGGGAUCCUUGAGAUCUUAGUGGCGCAGCUAACGCGAUAAGUCGACCGCCUGGGGGAGUACGGCCGCAAGGUUAAAACUCAAAUGAAGUUGACGGGGGGCCUGCACAAGCGG
rnacentral:rRNA from 1 species